rnacentral:rRNA from 1 species
AUGAACGCUAGCUACAGGCUUAACACAUGCAAGUCGAGGGGCAGCAUGAACUUAGCUUGCUAAGUUUGAUGGCGACCGGCGCACGGGUGAGUAACACGUAUCCAACCUUCCGUACACUCAGGGAUAGCCUUUCGAAAGAAAGAUUAAUACCUGAUGGUAUGAUGAGAUUGCAUGAUAGCAUCAUUAAAGAUUUAUCGGUGUACGAUGGGGAUGCGUUCCAUUAGGUAGUAGGCGGGGUAACGGCCCACCUAGCCAACGAUGGAUAGGGGUUCUGAGAGGAAGGUCCCCCACAUUGGAACUGAGACACGGUCCAAACUCCUACGGGAGGCAGCAGUGAGGAAUAUUGGUCAAUGGACGAGAGUCUGAACCAGCCAAGUAGCGUGAAGGAUGACUGCCCUAUGGGUUGUAAACUUCUUUUAUAUGGGAAUAAAGUAUUCCACGUGUGGGAUUUUGUAUGUACCAUAUGAAUAAGGAUCGGCUAACUCCGUG